CCUAGCUGUGAUGACAAACUUGCCCUCACUGAGAGCUCUGCUCGUUAAUGAGAACCUCUUUUGUACUCAUCUGAUCUGAGCCAGG